AUCGGUGUUUGUUUUUGCAUGUGUCAAGCUUCUUAUCUUCUAUUAACAGGUAAACAUGAACCAUCAUAGAUCAUGCAAGUGUGAAUUCAUACUCUCAAACAAUUAAGCACAUGAUAAAUCUAUUCAAAAAAUAAUUCAAAAUACCAUAGGGAAAUAAGAAAGCAUGCAUGUGAGAAUAAUUUAUAUAUAGCUGGAAGCGGCGAAUAUAAAGAGUAAAUGUGGGCAUGUUCUUGAGUCGUGGUUUCCUGAUG